GAUGAACGCUGGCGGCGUGCCUAAUACAUGCAAGUCGAGCGAACAGACGAGGAGCUUGCUCCUCUGACGUUAGCGGCGGACGGGUGAGUAACACGUGGAUAACCUACCUAUAAGACUGGGAUAACUUCGGGAAACCGGAGCUAAUACCGGAUAAUAUAUUGAACCGCAUGGUUCAAUGGUGAAAGACGGUUUUGCUGUCACUUAUAGAUGGAUCCGCGCCGCAUUAGCUAGUUGGUAAGGUAACGGCCUACCAAGGCAACGAUGCGUAGCCGACCCGAGAGGGUGAUCGGCCACACGGGAACUGAGACACGGUCCAGACUCCUACGGGAGGCAGCAGUAGGGAAUCUUACGCAAUGGGCGAAAGCCUGACGGAGCAACGCCGCGUGAGUGAUGAAGGUCUUCGGAUCGUAAAACUCUGUUAUUAGGGAAGAACAAAUGUGUAAGUAACUAUGCACGUCUUGACGGUACCUAAUCAGAAAGCCACGGCUAACUACGUG
rnacentral:rRNA from 1 species